rnacentral:rRNA from 1 species
UGGGGAAUAUUGCACAAUGGGCGCAAGCCUGAUGCAGCCAUGCCGCGUGUGUGAAGAAGGCCUUCGGGUUGUAAAGCACUUUCAGCGAGGAGGAAGGGUGGUGUGUUAAUAGCACAUUGCAUUGACGUUACUCGCAGAAGAAGCACCGGCUAACUCCGUGCCAGCAGCCGCGGUAAUACGGAGGGUGCAAGCGUUAAUCGGACUUACUGGGCGUAAAGCGCACGCAGGCGGGUUGUUAAGUCAGAUGUGAAAUCCCCGCGCUUAACGUGGGAACUGCAUUUGAAACUGGCAAGCUAGAGUCUUGUAGAGGGGGGUAGAAUUCCAGGUGUAGCGGUGAAAUGCGUAGAGAUCUGGAGGAAUACCGGUGGCGAAGGCGGCCCCCUGGACAAAGACUGACGCUCAGGUGCGAAAGCGUGGGGAGCAAACA